CGUUAGCACACCGCCAGGUCGUGUUUAGUGUAGUUGUAGUACAAUUUGUAUCCUAAUUACUAGUCAUUUAUUUACUACUAUUCAUUAACUCGUGAUAUAAUGGUAGCAAGAGAAGUUUUAAGAGUGUCGGCCGUCCAGGAGGGGAGGCGCGACAGUAGAUGCGCGCGCAGAUGCCCUCGGCCGGCCGUGGACCAACCACGAGCGGUGGACCAACGGGCUGCGCCGGCGUUCAUCACGCGAUGCGCGGGAACAGAUAUGAGCCACACACACUGCAACGUUUGUCACAUCUGCAUACUUUUUCAACAACAUUGCGAUGCAUUAAUACGGUAAGUAAACGAAACAUCAUCUAAAGGGCG